rnacentral:rRNA from 1 species
GCUUGAGAGAACUCGGGUGAAGGAACUAGGCAAAAUGGUGCCGUAACUUCGGGAGAAGGCACGCUGAUAUGUAGGUGAAGCGACUAGCUCGUGGAGCUGAAAUCAGUCGAAGAUACCAGCUGGCUGCAACUGUUUAUUAAAAACACAGCACUGUGCAAACACGAAAGUGGACGUAUACGGUGUGACGCCUGCCCGGUGCCGGAAGGUUAAUUGAUGGGGUUAGCGGCAACGCGAAGCUCUUGAUCGAAGCCCCGGUAAACGGCGGCCGUAACUAUAACGGUCCUAAGGUAGCGAAAUUCCUUGUCGGGUAAGUUCCGACCUGCACGAAUGGCGUAAUGAUGGCCAGGCUGUCUCCACCCGAGACUCAGUGAAAUUGAACUCGCUGUGAAGAUGCAGUGUACCCGCGGCAAGACGGAAAGACCCCGUGAACCUUUACUAUAGCUUGACACUGAACAUUGAGCCUUGAUGUGUAGGAUAGGUGGGAGGCUUUGAAGUGUGGACGCCAGUCUGCAUGGAGCCGACCUUGAAAUACCACCCUUUAAUGUUUGAUGUUCUAACGUUGGCCCGUAAUCCGGGUUGCGGACAGUGUCUGGUGGGUAGUUUGACUGGGGCGGUCUCCUCCUAAAGAGUAACGGAGGAGCACGAAGGUUGGCUAAUCCUGGUCGGACAUCAGGAGGUUAGUGCAAUGGCAUAAGCCAGCUUGACUGCGAGCGUGACGGCGCGAGCAGGUGCGAAAGCAGGUCAUAGUGAUCCGGUGGUUCUGAAUGGAAGGGCCAUCGCUCAACGGAUAAAAGGUACUCCGGGGAUAACAGGCUGAUACCGCCCAAGAGUUCAUAUCGACGGCGGUGUUUGGCACCUCGAUGUCGGCUCAUCACAUCCUGGGGCUGAAGUAGGUCCCAAGGGUAUGGCUGUUCGCCAUUUAAAGUGGUACGCGAGCUGGGUUUAGAACGUCGUGAGACAGUUCGGUCCCUAUCUGCCGUGGGCGCUGGAGAACUGAGGGGGGCUGCUCCUAGUACGAGAGGACCGGAGUGGACGCAUCACUGGUGUUCGGGUUGUCAUGCCAAUGGCACUGCCCGGUAGCUAAAUGCGGAAGAGAUAAGUGCUGAAAGCAUCUAAGCACGAAACUUGCCCCGAGAUGAGUUCUCCCUGAGACUUAGAGUCUCCUGAAGGAACGUUGAAGACGACGACGUUGAUAGGCCGGGUGUGUAAGCGCAGCGAUGCGUUGAGCUAACCGGUACUAAUGAACCGUGAGGCUUAACCUU